UAAAUUUUCUUUUUAUGUUCAUUCUAUAAGUUCUGUUCCUCUAGAGAACCCUGACUAACACACCACUAGCCACUUUAAAUAUAGGUGAUUUUAACAUUAAAAGAAGACAGGUUUCAGGAUGGAGGAUGAGGUGGCUGUUGUACAAGACUACCAUGGGUUCAGCUGUGCCUACUUGCAAAAUAUUGACCUAGCUCAGAUUGCUGAUUGUUGACUUUUCCUCACUGAAGGAGGUUCAGAGAGGGUCAUAGGACCAUCACCAGAGUGUCCACCCAUCACUUUCAACGAGUUGUAUGUAGUUCUAUAUCCAGAAUUAAUUGUGUAUAGCCUCAGGGUUUCCCAGAGGGACUCAAAGAUAUGAAUAUACUUCAAGAAAGAAAAGAGCUGAAUGAAAUUAUAUGAAAAUAGAAUUCAAUAAAGACUGAAAUGAAAAAGU